CUGCUAAUGGGAGGUUAAUAGAUUUUUUGUCUCUCCUUAGAUAAUAAUAUAGAGAAAGAUAGGUAGUCGAUUAACCUCCCGUUAGCAGUUAAUCGACGUUUGUGAAACUGGUCCUAAGUAAAUUAUAACAUCCAAUCAGUUGUAGAAUGUUGUAGACAGCCAGAAAACAAUUUCCUGCAGAGUAAAGCUGCCAAAUUCUGAGCCUGCUAUGUUUCCAAGUGUGCCAAAAUUAUAGAAAAUGUGCUACCCACAUUGGCAUUUGCAAGAAUGAGUUUGGGGAUACCAAUGGAAUGCUUGUCCAAAAAUCAAGGAUCAUUUCGCUAUUGUGAUUCGUUCAUGCCAAAAAUUGUGGAUGCCUCGCGAAACUUUGAAUACGCUUUUAGUGCUCAGAAAGAUAAAUGGUAAAUAAUAUUAUGCAUUUUAAAAUAUGUGAAUAAACGGUUUUAAGCUCGA
rnacentral:lncRNA from 1 species